rnacentral:rRNA from 1 species
GAUGAACGCUGGCGGCGUGCCUAAUACAUGCAAGUCGAGCGAACAGACGAGGAGCUUGCUCCUCUGACGUUGGCGGCGGACGGGUGAGUAACACGUGGAUAACCUACCUAUAAGACUGGGAUAACUUCGGGAAACCGGAGCUAAUACCGGAUAAUAUAUUGAACCGCAUGGUUCAAUAGUGAAAGACGGUUUUGCUGUCACUUAUAGAUGGAUCCGCGCCGCAUUAGCUAGUUGGGAAGGUAACGGCUUACCAAGGCAACGAGGCGUACCCGACCUGAGAGGGGGAUCGGCCACAGUGGGACUGAGACACGGACAGGCCCCCUCCGGGAGGCAGAAGGAGGGAGUCUUCAGAAAUGGGCGAGAGCCUUACGGAGCAGCGCGGAGUGAGUAAUAAAGGUUUACGGACCUAAAAACUCUUUUAUUGGGAAAAAAAAAAUGUGUAAGUAACUCUGCCCGUCUUGACGGUACCUAAUAGGAAAGCCCCGGCUAACUACGUC